UACGUAGGGUGCGAGCGUUGUCCGGAAUUAUUGGGCGUAAAGAGCUCGUAGGCGGUUUGUCGCGUCUGCCGUGAAAGUCCGGGGCUCAACCCCGGAUCUGCGGUGGGUACGGGCAGACUAGAGUGAUGUAGGGGAGACUGGAAUUCCUGGUGUAGCGGUGAAAUGCGCAGAUAUCAGGAGGAACACCGGUGGCGAAGGCGGGUCUCUGGGCAGUAACUGACGCUGAGGAGCGAAAGCGUGGGGAGCGAACAGG
rnacentral:rRNA from 1 species